GCCUAUACAUGCAAGUCGAGCGGACCGACGGGAGCUUGCUCCCUUAGGUCAGCGGCGGACGGGUGAGUAACACGUGGGUAACCUGCCUGUAAGACUGGGAUAACUCCGGGAAACCGGGGCUAAUACCGGAUGCUUGAUUGAACCGCAUGGUUCAAUCAUAAAAGGUGGCUUUUAGCUACCACUUACAGAUGGACCCGCGGCGCAUUAGCUAGUUGGUGAGGUAACGGCUCACCAAGGCGACGAUGCGUAGCCGACCUGAGAGGGUGAUCGGCCACACUGGGACUGAGACACGGCCCAGACUCCUACGGGAGGCAGCAGUAGGGAAUCUUCCGCAAUGGACGAAAGUCUGACGGAGCAACGCCGCGUGAGUGAUGAAGGUUUUCGGAUCGUAAAACUCUGUUGUUAGGGAAGAACAAGUACCGUUCGAAUAGGGCGGUACCUUGACGGUACCUAACCAGAAAGCCACGGCUAACUACGUGCCAGCAGCCGCGGUAAUACGUAGGUGGCAAGCGUUGUCCGGAAUUAUUGGGCGUAAAGCGCGCGCAGGCGGUUUCUUAAGUCUGAUGUGAAAGCCCCCGGCUCAACCG
rnacentral:rRNA from 1 species